ACUCCUACGGGAGGCAGCAGUGGGGAAUAUUGCACAAUGGGGGAAACCCUGAUGCAGCCAUGCCGCGUGUGUGAAGAAGGCAGCUUCGGGUUGUAAAGCACUUUCAGUAGGGAGGAAGGUAGUGUAGUUAACACCUGCAUUAUUUGACGUUACCUACAGAAGAAGCACCGGCUAACUCCGUGCCAGCAGCCGCGGUAAUACGGAGGGUGCGAGCGUUAAUCGGAAUUACUGGGCGUAAAGCGCAUGCAGGCGGCCUGUUAAGUCAGAUGUGAAAGCCCGGGGCUUAACCUCGGAAUUGCAUUUGAAACUGGCAGGCUAGAGUCUUGUAGAGGGGUG
rnacentral:rRNA from 1 species